UGCAAGUCGAGCGAACGGACGAGAAGCUUGCUUCUCUGAUGUUAGCGGCGGACGGGUGAGUAACACGUGGAUAACCUACCUAUAAGACUGGGAUAACUUCGGGAAACCGGAGCUAAUACCGGAUAAUAUUUUGAACCGCAUGGUUCAAAAGUGAAAGGCGGUCUUGCUGUCACUUAUAGAUGGAUCCGCGCUGCAUUAGCUAGUUGGUAAGGUAACGGCUUACCAAGGCAACGAUGCAUAGCCGACCUGAGAGGGUGAUCGGCCACACUGGAACUGAGACACGGUCCAGACUCCUACGGGAGGCAGCAGUAGGGAAUCUUCCGCAAUGGGCGAAAGCCUGACGGAGCAACGCCGCGUGAGUGAUGAAGGUCUUCGGAUCGUAAAACUCUGUUAUUAGGGAAGAACAUAUGUGUAAGUAACUGUGCACAUCUUGACGGUACCUAAUCAGAAAGCCACGGCUAACUACGUGCCAGCAGCCGCGGUAAUACGUAGGUGGCAAGCGUUAUCCGGAAUUAUUGGGCGUAAAGCGCGCGUAGGCGGUUUUUUAAGUCUGAUGUGAAAGCCCACGGCUCAACCGUGGAGGGUCAUUGGAAACUGGAAAACUUGAGUGCAGAAGAGGAAAGUGGAAUUCCAUGUGUAGCGGUGAAAUGCGCAGAGAUAUGGAGGAACACCAGUGGCGAAG
rnacentral:rRNA from 1 species